rnacentral:rRNA from 1 species
AUUGAUCGGUACGGGUUGUGAGAGCAAGAGCCCGGAGAUGGAUUCUGAGACACGAAUCCAGGCCCUACGGGGCGCAGCAGGCGCGAAAACUUUACAAUGCGAGAAAUCGUGAUAAGGGAACCCCGAGUGCCCGUAAAUUCGGGCUGUCCGCCAGUGUAAAUAACUGGUGAAGAAAGGGCCGGGCAAGACCGGUGCCAGCCGCCGCGGUAAUACCGGCGGCUCGAGUGGUGGCCACUAUUACUGGGCUUAAAGCGUCCGUAGCUGGAUUGUUAAGUCUCUUGGGAAAUCCACCGGCUCAACCGAUGGGCGUUCAGGAGAAACUGGCAAUCUAGGGACCGGGAGAGGUGAGAGGUACUCCAGGGGUAGGAGUGAAAUCCUGUAAUCCUUGGGGGACCACCUGUGGCGAAGGCGUCUCACUAGAACGGCUCCGACAGUGAGGGACGAAAGCUGGGGGAGCAAACCGGAUUAGAUACCCGGGUAGUCCCAGCUGUAAACGAUGCGCGUUAGGUGUAUCGGUGACCACGAGUCAUCGAGGUGCCGAAGGGAAACCGUGAAACGUGC